rnacentral:tRNA from 1 species
UGGUGUAGCACUGCGCUUAGCCGCUCCCGCUUUGGGAGCGGAGGGUCGCAGGUUCAAAUCCUGUCAUCCCGA